rnacentral:rRNA from 1 species
CGCGUAGGCGGAUUUUUUAAGUCAGGGGUGAAAUCCCGAGGCUCAACCUCGGAACUGCCUUUGAUACUGGAGAUCUUGAGACUAGGAGAGGUAAGCGGAACUGCGAGUGUAGAGGUGAAAUUCGUAGAUAUUGGGAAGAACACCGGUGGCGAAGGCGGCGACCUGGUCCGAUACUGACGCUGAGGCGCGAAAGCGUGGGGAGCAAACAGGAUUAGAUACCCUGGUAGUCCACGCCGUAAACGAUGUGUGCUGGAUGUUGGGCGGUCUGACCGCUCAGUGUCGUAGCUAACGCGAUAAGCACACCGCCUGGGGAGUACGGCCGCAAGGUUGAA